UACGUAGGGGGCAAGCGUUGUCCGGAUUUAUUGGGCGUAAAGAGCGUGUAGGCGGCUAGGUAGGUCUGUUGUGAAACUCGAGGCUUAACCUCGAGAUGUCGGCGGAAACCAUCUGGCUAGAGUCCGGAAGAGGAGAGUGGAAGUCCUGGUGUAGCGGUGAAAUGCGCAGAUAUCAGGAAGAACACCCGUGGCGAAGGCGGCUCUCUGGGACGGUACUGACGGCGAGACGCGAAAGCGUGGGGAGCGAACAGG
rnacentral:rRNA from 1 species